rnacentral:rRNA from 1 species
GAUGAACGCUGGCGGCGUGCUUAACACAUGCAAGUCGAACGAUGAAGCCCAGCUUGCUGGGUGGAUUAGUGGCGAACGGGUGAGUAACACGUGAGUAACCUGCCCUUAACUCUGGGAUAAGCCUGGGAAACUGGGUCUAAUACCGGAUAGGAGCGUCCACCGCAUGGUGGGUGUUGGAAAGAUUUAUCGGUUUUGGAUGGACUCGCGGCCUAUCAGCUUGUUGGUGAGGUAAUGGCUCACCAAGGCGACGACGGGUAGCCGGCCUGAGAGGGUGACCGGCCACACUGGGACUGAGACACGGCCCAGACUCCUACGGGAGGCAGCAGUCGGGAAUAUUGCACAAUGGGCGCAAGCCUGAUGCAGCGACGCCGCGUGAGGGAUGACGGCCUUCGGGUUGUAAACCUCUUUCAGUAGGGAAGAAGCGAAAGUGACGGUACCUGCAGAAGAAGCACCGGCUAACUACGUG